CCUACGGGUGGCAGCAGUGAGGAAUAUUGGUCAAUGGACGAGAGUCUGAACCAGCCAAGUAGCGUGAAGGAUGACUGCCCUCUGGGUUGUAAACUUCUUUUAUAUGGGAAUAAAAUGUUCCACGUGUGGGUUUUUGUAUGUACCAUAUGAAUAAGGAUCGGCUAACUCCGUGCCAGCAGCCGCGGUAAUACGGAGGAUCGGAGCGUUAUCCGGAUUUAUUGGGUGUAACGGGAGCGUAGGUGGAUUGUUAAGUCAGUUGUGAAAGCUUGCGGCUCAACCGUAAAAUUGCAGUUGAUACUGGCAGUCUUGAGUACAGUAGAGGUGGGCAGAAUGCGUGGUGUAGCGGUGAAAUGCUUAGAUAUCACGAAGAACUCCGAUUGCGAAGGCAGCUCACUGGACUGCAACUGACACUGAGGCUCGAAAGUGUGGGUAUCAAACAGGAUUAGAUACCCGAGUAGUC
rnacentral:rRNA from 1 species